GCGCGGCGGCGGCGCUAAGAUGGCUGCGGCGGCGGCGCGGCGGCCCGUACCUGUUUUCUCCUUGAUCUCGCAGAGGACGCUGAACAGGGCGGGUUUCAUCCUGUGGCAGUUCAGGGCGUGUUUCCUGCAAGAGAGCACAGGACAAGCGCAGUAUCUGGUCAGAUUUAUAAUUCAUCUGCUGCCGCUCUGAGACAAGAAAAGAAAGAAAGAGGCAAAGUUGUACUUUGAGGGAUGGCCGGACGGACAGACGGAUGGACGGCGGCGCAAAGGCCGGUAUCCACCGGGCAGCGUCCAGCGGGAACGGGCAGGGACCAGCCACAGCCUCCCGCGCACCACACCGACGGCAGAGCCAUCGCAUACUUCUACAUUUAUCAUAGCUUUUUUUUUUUUAAGGAAAGAAAUCAUUAAAUAGCAACUUGGCUCUGC